GGGCAAGUGGCGGAACUGGUAGACGCGCUAGCUUCAGGAGCUAGUGGCAGCAAUGUCGUGGAGGUUCAAGUCCUCUCUUGCCCA
rnacentral:tRNA from 1 species